UUUUUUUUUUUUUUUUUUUUUCUUUUUAGGCCACACCCGCAGAACAUGGAUGUUCCAAGGGUAAGGGUUGGAUCAAAGCUGCAGCUGCUGGGAAUGCCACAGCCACAAAGCACCAGAUGCAAGUCAAGUCUGCAAUGUACUCCUGAGCUGACGGCAACCCCAGAUCCUUAACCCACUGAACCAGGCCAGGGAUCCAACCCAGGUCCUCAUGAAUGCUAGUUAGGUUCAUCGCUGAUGAGCCACAAUGGGAACUCCUCAAACUUUGCUUCCUGGGAUUGAAAAGAGUUUCAUGAAACAACACUUACCCUAUUUAUGUUUGAAGCACUCUGACGUUUUCUGUUUUAUUGUAUUUCUUUCUGAUCAGUGCUGAUUAGGCCCCUGCCAAAUUGAUUUCCAGAGCCACUAUUGGGACCCAACCUAACAUGUGUAAAACACUAUAUUAGAUUUAUACACAAAUCAAUAGAAAUGGCUUUAAACCAUGUUGUUGAGUGAAAACAAUAGGAAACACGACGUUUAUGGAAUUUGAGCUCCCACUGUGACACAAAAUCUGGCUGCAGCAGCUUGGGUUGCUAUCGGUGCACAGGCCAGAUCCCUGACCUGGUAUGGUGGGUUAAGGAUCUGGUGUGGCCACAGCUGGGUCUCAGAUUCAAUCCCUGGCCUGGGAAAUUCCAGGUGCCAUGGGCUGGGGGAAAGAAAGAAGAAAGUGAAAGGGCGAAAGAGCAAACCGAAGAAAGAGGAAGAGAGGAAGGAGGCAGGAGAGAAAGAAAAAAAGAUUUAUAGCAUAAUGCAUGAAAAAGCAAAUAUCAGAGUUCUCCUUGUGGCUUAGUUUGAAACAGACCCGACUAGCAUCCAUGAGGAUGCGGGUUCAAUCCCUAGCUCCGCUCAGUGGGUUAUGGAGCCACAUGGCCUCAAGCUGUAGCAUAGGUUGCAGACACGGCUCCGAUCCCAUGUUGCUGUGGUUGUGGUGGAGGCCGGCAGCUGUAGCUCAAAUUGGAUCCCUAGCCUGGGAACCACCACAGGCCACAAUGCAGCCCUAAAAAGGCAAAAAGGAAAAGGAAAAAAAAAGCAAAAAUCACACACACGUAGAAACGCACAAGGAUCCACAAUACCUAAGGAUAUACAUCAAACACUCCAAAGGCAGUACCACCUGGAGAAUGACCAAAGCAAAAUAAACUCCAGGCGGAUCUGGAAUGCAAGCAUGCCCACCUGUAUCAUCUCAGAGAAGUUGGCUGGGCUCUGCACUGGGGUCUAACAAAACAAAAAUAUGGGGAGGGGGUCAUUUAACAGGAAAGCUUGAGAAUCACAUAACUAUCCAGAAAACAUGUAGGAGCUGGAGAAUGGUGCAUUUAGAAUUCUUGAAGUGCAGGGUUUUUUUUUGUUUUUUUUUUUUCGGACCACCCUUGCAGCAUACGGACGUUCCCAGGCUUGGGGUCAAAUAGGAGCUGCAGCUGAGUUUCUGCCGCAGCCACAUCCACACCAGAUCCUUAAUCCCCUGAGCCAGGCCAGGCUGUCCGUCCUGGUCCAGAAAAGCUGUAACCAAGGGCGGGGGCAGGGUCUCCAGGUAGAAGUCACAGCCACAGACCUGCAAAUCCCCCACCUCAUUCCCGUCCCCCUCCCUGCCUUUUUUUUCUUUAUAAAGCUCUUCAAGUGGCUCUAGUGUGUAGGCACAGUGGGCUGUCCUGGCAUAGGAUCCAGCCUCGGCCUAAGAGUUUCACUUGAUUGUUUCACACUGCCAGGGAGACUAUGAAUUCUCACUGGUAUCUGUAAACCAGUAUCUUCACGUCCAAAUUGACCUCCUUGAGGAAAGUAAAUAGGCCACUUACAAAUUCCAGUUCAUAUGCUCCUCACACCCAGGUGAGUUCCAGGUCAAGGUCGGAAGGAUAGUUGGAGAAAAGGAAGUUGCCUCCUGUAUCUAGCGACCUGUCUGUUUUUGAAAAGAGAUUCAGCAAACAUGUACCUUCCUUAUGUUUGAGGCACUCUGAUACUUUCUAGUAUACUAUAUUUAUUUGUUUUUUCAAAUUCAGCUUAGAAAGCAGAUGAUUUCUUGUGCCCGUGUUCCCUUCAGCCUUCACAAAUGAGACCUGCACUGGUCCAUCCAGAAUGGCACAGGUCCAGCGCAAAAACCCCAAAGGGACCACUUUGAUACGAGCCAAGUGGGUCUCACAGUGGUCGAGGAGAUCAGAAUGGGCAGAGGUGUUCCCGACCCACUGAGUCCAGUUCCAGACAGAAGGCGUGCAGUCCAAAAAGUGGUACCAGUGUCCGUGGCCUCUGGGCUUUCCUUGCUUCUGCUCCUGUGCUUUCCAUGGGGAUACAGAUUUAUGUGGACCUCUCCCCCAUCUUCCUACUUUUGGGCUUCAGCUGAAACAGCUGCUUCUUCCUCCACUUUGUUUGCAGAGCAUGUGGGUGUCUCAGAGGAUGGUGCCGAGGCCAGGAGCGGGUUUCCUUCUGAUCAUUGCUGAUGAUGCCCCCACCAGACUGAUGUCAGGAGCCACCGUUGGGAUCCAGCCUAUCACUUGUAAAUCACUGAAUUUGAGUGACCUAUAAAUCUAUAGGAAUAGCCUUAAAGCAGGCCCUUGGGUGAGAGCAGCAGGGAACUUAGGAUGUAUAGCAUUGGCGUUCAAGCUGUGGCCCAGUGGGUUAAGAAUCCCCCUGCAGUGGCUCAGGUGGCUGUGGAGGUGCGGGUCUGAUCCCUGGCCCAGAGCAGUGGGUUAAAGGACCCUGCAUUGCCACAGCUGUGGCUCAGAUUCAGUCCCUGGCCUGGGACCUUCCACAUGCUGUGGGCACCAUCCCUCCCCCCAAAAA
ensembl:lncRNA